CGCUAGGCUUGACCGGGGCGUUCGGCGUGCCCUUAUACACCGAAAUCGUCGAUAUGCGGGGGUGACAGCAGGGGACGUCGUAACUGGAACGAUGAGGACCCUUACACCAACGAUGAGGUCUUGUUCCUCGGGGUCGGUGGCAGCAUUGCGAUGCAGCUGGAGGGCUGCAUCCUUUGCUCUAAUCAUGGGGAACGAGUCAGGCCCUGACGGGAGCAGCUUAACCAUGAACUACCGACGCUCGGGGGCAAACGGGGCCGAGAAGGUGUCUGGACAAUCCUCUUCGAACCAGGCGGCAACCCCUGCGGCCUAGCA
rnacentral:SRP_RNA from 1 species